rnacentral:rRNA from 1 species
GUCCACGCCCUAAACGAUGCGAACUGGAUGUUGGGCUCAACUUGGAGCUCAGUAUCGAAGCUAACGCGUUAAGUUCGCCGCCUGGGGAGUACGGUCGCAAGACUGAAACUCAAAGGAAUUGACGGGGGCCCGCACAAGCGGUGGAGUAUGUGGUUUAAUUCGAUGCAACGCGAAGAACCUUACCUGGCCUUGACAUCCACGGAACUUACCAGAGAUGGUUUGGUGCCUUCGGGAACCGUGAGACAGGUGCUGCAUGGCUGUCGU